rnacentral:lncRNA from 1 species
UUGGGUCAUUAUGUUCAAUGGGUUUAGAAAUCAACCUGCAUAAUGAUUUUGGAUAUAAAAGAGAUUUUAGAAUUCAAACAAAGCAAAUCAUUAUGCAGAUGAAAAGAUUGAUUUUAUUUUAUUUUUUAGGGUUUUAUGUGAUCACCAAUUUCAUGCAAAAACAAAAAGGGAAAAUAAAUGGGAAAAACAAACAUUUAACAUGAAUUUAUUGAAUGAAAA